rnacentral:rRNA from 1 species
CCUACGGGGGGCAGCAGUGAGGAAUAUUGGUCAAUGGACGAGAGUCUGAACCAGCCAAGUAGCGUGAAGGAUGACUGCCCUAUGGGUUGUAAACUUCUUUUAUAUGGGAAUAAAACGUUCCACGUGUGGGAUUUUGUAUGUACCAUAUGAAUAAGGAUCGGCUAACUCCGUGCCAGCAGCCGCGGUAAUACGGAGGAUCCGAGCGUUAUCCGGAUUUAUUGGGUUUAAAGGGCGCGUAGGUGGAUUGUUAAGUCAGUUGUGAAAGUUUGCGGCUCAACCGUAAAAUUGCAGUUGAAACUGGCAGUCUUGAGUACAGUAGAGGUGGGCGGAAUUCGUGGUGUAGCGGUGAAAUGCUUAGAUAUCACGAAGAACUCCGAUUGCGAAGGCAGUUCACUGGACUGCAACUGACACUGAGGCUCGAAAGUGUGGGUAUCAAACAGGAUUAGAUACCCUUGUAGUC